rnacentral:rRNA from 1 species
CCCCUAGAUGUUCUGGGCCGCACGCGCGCUACACUGAACAGUUCAACAAGUCUUAACCUUGGCCGAUAGGUCUGGGUAAUCUUUGAACGCUGUUCGUGAUUGGGAUAGACCUUUGCAAUUAUGGGUCUUCAACGAGGAAUUCCUAGUAAACGCAAGUCAUCAGCUUGCAUUGAUUACGUCCCUGCCCUUUGUACACACCGCCUGUCGCACCUACCGAUUGAAUGGUCCGGUGAAAUCUCGGGACGGCGGCUUGGUCGCUUGCGUCCGACUGCUGAAACUUGAUUAAACCAUAUCAUUUAGAGGAAGGUGAANUCGUANCA